GACGAACGCUGGCGGCGUGCUUAACACAUGCGAGUCGAACGGAAAGGCCCUGCUUGCAGGGUACUCGAGUGGCGAACGGGUGAGUAACACGUGGGUGAUCUGCCCUGCACUUCGGGAUAAGCCUGGGAAACUGGGUCUAAUACCGGAUAGGAGCCAUUUUUAGUGUGAUGGUUGGAAAGUUUUUUCGGUGUAGGAUGAGCUCGCGGCCUAUCAGCUUGUUGGUGGGGUAAUGGCCUACCAAGGCGGCGACGGGUAGCCGGCCUGAGAGGGUGGACGGCCACAUUGGGACUGAGAUACGGCCCAGACUCCUACGGGAGGCAGCAGUGGGGAAUAUUGCACAAUGGGCGCAAGCCUGAUGCAGCGACGCCGCGUGGGGGAUGACGGCCUUCGGGUUGUAAACUCCUUUCGCUAGGGACGAAGCUUUUGUGACGGUACCUAGAUAAGAAGCACCGGCUAACUACGUG
rnacentral:rRNA from 1 species